UCCAUACAACUUUUGGAUUAGAUUUACUUUUGUCUGGUCCGCUUUUUGGAAUGGAUGACUAAGUUAGACUCUGUUUUCUGUCGAGAUGCUGAAGCAUUGACGUCGUGCUAUUAUUGUGGUAAGCUAGUUCCACAUAGCCGUAGACACACUGUCUACUGGUUGAUUCCUCCAGCCUGUCUCUUAUCUUAGCGCCUCAUUAUUUACACUCUCUUUCUUCAUUUUGUAAUCCGGCUUCACGGCAUGUGUCGCCAGCAGUGUCAGCCCCGUGUGUAACAGUAAUAAUCAUCCGUGCGGAAUCACCGUGAGCGAUACAACAUUGGUAACAUUGAUUAAACGAAGCUUCGAGGCAAAUCAUUUUGCAUCGAGGAAUUUUAGUAAUCGAAUUGUUCAAGUUACUCGAGGAACCGUUUCAGCCC